AUCACCUCCUCUGUAAGCCUUGGCUUCUUCAUCUGUUCCUUAGGAAAAUCAAGACUGCUCAGGACCAAGGGACACAACGGCUAUCGAAGAUCGUCACAGGUUUACACCUCCCCUAGUGUGGAGAAGGGGCCUUGCUGAGGAAGUGAUAGCUGGAGCUACAACAGCCAUCUUAUGACAAUGAGGUGAUGUGCUGAGGACAGUGGAAGACAAAGACAGAAGAAUCCAGGGACGUCUGACACGGUAAAGCAUGCAAAUGUAGAUUCGGAAGUCGUUCAGGACACACUGGCACACAAAACCCAUUCUGCAAAGGUCACUGAGGGAGGUGCUUCGGCACAUGCGGAGGUACAACUGCAAUGUGGUCACCGGGGAGAAACAGGCAGUACCUUCGCC